UACGAAGGGGGCUAGCGUUGCUCGGAAUCACUGGGCGUAAAGCGCACGUAGGCGGUCUCUUAAGUCGGUGGUGAAAUCCUGGAGCUCAACUCCAGAACUGCCUUCGAUACUGAGAGUCUUGAGUCCGGGAGAGGUGAGUGGAACUGCGAGUGUAGAGGUGAAAUUCGUAGAUAUUCGCAAGAACACCAGUGGCGAAGGCGGCUCACUGGCCCGGUACUGACGCUGAGGUGCGAAAGCGUGGGGAGUAAACAGG
rnacentral:rRNA from 1 species